AAUAACAUUCACUUCUUCCGUCGCCUCAAAAUCCCAUCCUCGUCGCCACUUGUUGUGUUUGGAUUAUAGUCAUUAACUGAGGCGAGGAUGUCAACGUAACAUCGGUUUAUUUCAGGCAACAGCAAAACAUUAGAAUACUGAACUGUCAGUCUAUCUGACAGUUUGCCUUUUUAUACUUGGCAAACAGAACAGCAUUAACCAAUCAGGAAAUGAGUAACUCCCACACUUAGCAUAACCCCGUCCCAACCAAUCAGGUGCAGGCAUUUCCAUCGCUAUGGUAACGCGCCAACACAACAACUCCAACUUGACAGUUGCUCCCAGCAGAUGUUCUGAUAAAUGAUAGAAGCUGUAGCUCCCAGUCUACCUCCCUACAGGGCAGGCAGCCUAAAGAAGCGUCUCCAUGCCGCUUCUACAAGACGCUGCUCAGGGUCUGCGCUUCCUUCUGGGCAGGCAGCCGAGAGAGCCUGUCUCCUGCACUCCUCUAAAAGCUCUAAUGCUCCGAAGGGAUAAACUAUAUCUAAAAGAUGUCAAUGAAAGAAUGGCAGAUAUGGAAGAAGUUUUACCUGAUAUGAUAAAGUACAAAAUGUAGAACUACAAAUAACAGGUGAAGAGAU